CUCGAGUGCCAGGUUACAAAUCUGGCUGUCGAGAUGCCUAAAAAGCAUUUCAUAGCAAGGGCCGGGCAAGACCGGUGCCAGCCGCCGCGGUAACACCGGCGGCUCGAGUGGUAACCGUUAUUAUUGGGUCUAAAGGGUCUGUAGCCGGCCGGAUAAGUCUCUUGAGAAAUCUGGCAGCUUAACUGUCAGGCUUUCAGGAGAUACUGUCUGGCUCGAGGCCGGGAGAGGUGAGAGGUACUUCAGGGGUAGGGGUGAAAUCUUGUAAUCCUUGAAGGACCACCAGUGGCGAAGGCGUCUCACCAGAACGGACCUGACGGCAAGGGACGAAAGCUAGGGGCACGAACCGGAUUAGAUACCCGGGUAGUCCUAGCCGUAAACGAUACUCGCUAGGUGUCGGCCACGGUGCGACCGUUGUCGGUGCCGUAGGGAAGCCGUGAAGCGA
rnacentral:rRNA from 1 species